rnacentral:misc_RNA from 1 species
AACGCACCUUGCGCUCUCUGGUAUUCCGGAGAGCACGCCUGUUCGAGUGUCGUGAAAUUCUCAAACUAGGAUUUUCUAAUCUUGGUUUGGUUUUGGGCUUUGCUGUGUCACUACGGCUGGUCUUAAAAGCAUUAGCUGACUCUUGGUGUAAAAUUGGUUUGACUCGGCGUGAUAAUUCUCUGAUCGCUGAGGACAUCCUUUGGGAUGGCCAGACUUGUCCUUGAAUCGCUUUCUAAUCUGGUUAAUGGGUCUUAGGAACCGUUCCACUUUUCAUCUUUGACCUCGAAUCAGGUGGGACUACCCGCUGAACUUAA